rnacentral:rRNA from 1 species
UAAGCGACUAAGCGUACACGGUGGAUGCCCUGGCAGUCAGAGGCGAUGAAGGACGUGCUAAUCUGCGAUAAGCGUCGGUGAGGUGAUAUGAACCGUUAUAACCGGCGAUUUCCGAAUGGGGAAACCCAGUGUGAUUCGUCACACUAUCAUUAACUGAAUCCAUAGGUUAAUGAGGCGAACCGGGGGAACUGAAACAUCUAAGUACCCCGAGGAAAAGAAAUCAACCGAGAUUCCCCCAGUAGCGGCGAGCGAACGGGGAGGAGCCCAGAGCCUGAAUCAGUGUGUGUGUUAGUGGAAGCGUCUGGAAAGGCGUGCGAUACAGGGUGACAGCCCCGUACACAAAAAUGCACAUAUUGUGAGCUCGAUGAGUAGGGCGGGACACGUGGUAUCCUGUCUGAAUAUGGGGGGACCAUCCUCCAAGGCUAAAUACUCCUGACUGACCGAUAGUGAACCAGUACCGUGAGGGAAAGGCGAAAAGAACCCCGGCGAGGGGAGUGAAAAAGAACCUGAAACCGUGUACGUACAAGCAGUGGGAGCCUCUUAAUGGGGUGACUGCGUACCUUUUGUAUAAUGGGUCAGCGACUUAUAUUCUGUAGCAAGGUUAACCGAAUAGGGGAGCCGAAGGGAAACCGAGUCUUAACUGGGCGUUAAGUUGCAGGGUAUAGACCCGAAACCCGGUGAUCUAGCCAUGGGCAGGUUGAAGGUUGGGUAACACUAACUGGAGGACCGAACCGACUAAUGUUGAAAAAUUAGCGGAUGACUUGUGGCUGGGGGUGAAAGGCCAAUCAAACCGGGAGAUAGCUGGUUCUCCCCGAAAGCUAUUUAGGUAGCGCCUCGUGAAUUCAUCUCCGGGGGUAGAGCACUGUUUCGGCAAGGGGGUCAUCCCGACUUACCAACCCGAUGCAAACUGCGAAUACCGGAGAAUGUUAUCACGGGAGACACACGGCGGGUGCUAACGUCCGUCGUGAAGAGGGAAACAACCCAGACCGCCAGCUAAGGUCCCAAAGUCAUGGUUAAGUGGGAAACGAUGUGGGAAGGCCCAGACAGCCAGGAUGUUGGCUUAGAAGCAGCCAUCAUUUAAAGAAAGCGUAAUAGCUCACUGGUCGAGUCGGCCUGCGCGGAAGAUGUAACGGGGCUAAACCAUGCACCGAAGCUGCGGCAGCGACACUAUGUGUUGUUGGGUAGGGGAGCGUUCUGUAAGCCUGUGAAGGUGGCCUGUGAGGGUUGCUGGAGGUAUCAGAAGUGCGAAUGCUGACAUAAGUAACGAUAAAGCGGGUGAAAAGCCCGCUCGCCGGAAGACCAAGGGUUCCUGUCCAACGUUAAUCGGGGCAGGGUGAGUCGACCCCUAAGGCGAGGCCGAAAGGCGUAGUCGAUGGGAAACAGGUUAAUAUUCCUGUACUUGGUGUUACUGCGAAGGGGGGACGGAGAAGGCUAUGUUGGCCGGGCGACGGUUGUCCCGGUUUAAGCGUGUAGGCUGGUUUUCCAGGCAAAUCCGGAAAAUCAAGGCUGAGGCGUGAUGACGAGGCACUAUGGUGCUGAAGCGACAAAUGCCCUGCUUCCAGGAAAAGCCUCUAAGCAUCAGGUAACAUCAAAUCGUACCCCAAACCGACACAGGUGGUCAGGUAGAGAAUACCAAGGCGCUUGAGAGAACUCGGGUGAAGGAACUAGGCAAAAUGGUGCCGUAACUUCGGGAGAAGGCACGCUGAUAUGUAGGUGAAGCGACUUGCUCGUGGAGCUGAAAUCAGUCGAAGAUACCAGCUGGCUGCAACUGUUUAUUAAAAACACAGCACUGUGCAAACACGAAAGUGGACGUAUACGGUGUGACGCCUGCCCGGUGCCGGAAGGUUAAUUGAUGGGGUUAGCGGCAACGCGAAGCUCUUGAUCGAAGCCCCGGUAAACGGCGGCCGUAACUAUAACGGUCCUAAGGUAGCGAAAUUCCUUGUCGGGUAAGUUCCGACCUGCACGAAUGGCGUAAUGAUGGCCAGGCUGUCUCCACCCGAGACUCAGUGAAAUUGAACUCGCUGUGAAGAUGCAGUGUACCCGCGGCAAGACGGAAAGACCCCGUGAACCUUUACUAUAGCUUGACACUGAACAUUGAGCCUUGAUGUGUAGGAUAGGUGGGAGGCUUUGAAGUGUGGACGCCAGUCUGCAUGGAGCCGACCUUGAAAUACCACCCUUUAAUGUUUGAUGUUCUAACGUUGGCCCGUAAUCCGGGUUGCGGACAGUGUCUGGUGGGUAGUUUGACUGGGGCGGUCUCCUCCUAAAGAGUAACGGAGGAGCACGAAGGUUGGCUAAUCCUGGUCGGACAUCAGGAGGUUAGUGCAAUGGCAUAAGCCAGCUUGACUGCGAGCGUGACGGCGCGAGCAGGUGCGAAAGCAGGUCAUAGUGAUCCGGUGGUUCUGAAUGGAAGGGCCAUCGCUCAACGGAUAAAAGGUACUCCGGGGAUAACAGGCUGAUACCGCCCAAGAGUUCAUAUCGACGGCGGUGUUUGGCACCUCGAUGUCGGCUCAUCACAUCCUGGGGCUGAAGUAGGUCCCAAGGGUAUGGCUGUUCGCCAUUUAAAGUGGUACGCGAGCUGGGUUUAGAACGUCGUGAGACAGUUCGGUCCCUAUCUGCCGUGGGCGCUGGAGAACUGAGGGGGGCUGCUCCUAGUACGAGAGGACCGGAGUGGACGCAUCACUGGUGUUCGGGUUGUCAUGCCAAUGGCACUGCCCGGUAGCUAAAUGCGGAAGAGAUAAGUGCUGAAAGCAUCUAAGCACGAAACUUGCCCCGAGAUGAGUUCUCCCUGACCCUUUAAGGGUCCUGAAGGAACGUUGAAGACGACGACGUUGAUAGGCCGGGUGUGUAAGCGCAGCGAUGCGUUGAGCUAACCGGUACUAAUGAACCGUGAGGCUUAACCU